rnacentral:rRNA from 1 species
AGAUUGAACGCUGGCGGUAGGCCUAACACAUGCAAGCCGAACGGCAGCACAGUGGUAGCAAUACCAUGGGUGGCGAGUGGCGGACGGGUGAGGAAUACAUCGGAAUCUACCUUUUCGUGGGGGAUAACGUAGGGAAACUUACGCUAAUACCGCAUACGCCCUUUGGGGGAAAGCCGGGGAUCGCAAGACCUGGCGCGGAUAGAUGAGCCGAUGUCGGAUUAGCUAGUUGGUGAGGUAAUGGCUCACCAAGGCGACGAUCCGUAGCUGGUCUGAGAGGAUGAUCAGCCACACUGGAACUGAGACACGGUCCAGACCUCCUACGGGAGGCAGCAGUGGGAAUAGUUGGACAAUGGGCGCAAGCCUGAUCCAGCCAUACCGCGUGGGUGAAGAAGGCCUUACGGGUUGUAAAGCCCUUUUGUAGGAAAGAAAGCAAGUCGGUUAAUACCCGGUUGUUCUGACGUACCAAAGAAUAAGCACGGCUAACUUCGAGCCAGCAGCCGACGU